rnacentral:rRNA from 1 species
GAUGAACGCUGGCGGCGUGCCUAACACAUGCAAGUCGAACGGAAAGACGAGGCGCGUGCUCCUCUCACGUUGGCGGCGGGCGGGUGAGUCAAACGUGUAUAACCUUGCUAUAAGGCUGGGGUCACGUCGGGAAACCGGAGCUCAUAACGGAAAAUAUUUUGAACCGCAUGGUUCGAUAGUGUACGCCGUCUUUGCUGAGACUUAUAGCUGGAUCCGCGCCGCAUUGGCUAGUUGGUAAGGUAACGGCUUCCCAAGGCCACGAUGCGUAGCCGGUCUGAGAGGGUGAUCGGCCACACUGGAACUGAGACACGGUCCAGACUCCUACGGGAGGCAGCAGUGGGGAAUAUUGCGCAAUGGGCGAAAGCCUGACGGAGCAACGCCGCGUGGGUGAAGAAGGUCUUCGGGUCGUAAAACUCUGUUAGUGGGGAAGAAGGAAUGUGUGAGAAACUAUGCACGUCUUGACGGUACCUAAAGAAGAAGCACCGGCUAACUACGUG